UUGAGUUUGUGCGCUUUAAGGGGAUUUUGAGUGAUUUCUACUUAUGUAUAGGUUUUUCCCGGUAAGCGUGUAUGGCAUCACCUGACAUCUGAACUUGGAUUACAACUUUACAAUUAAACUUGAUAUUUUGAACGAUUAAACUAUUAAAUGCGGUUUGAGAACAGAUCAUUCUAAAAUACGCAACCUAGUUUGUAUUAAUUGAACGCGUAGUUGCUGAAUAACAAGAGUUCGAAGGUCAUUUUUCGAGGUAAAAUCUGAUUACUCUCCGCCGGGAAUGGGUUAGUGAAAUCAUACACAAACAUGAACUGUUUUACGAUUCAGUUUCACACCGUUUCACUUUCGAUGUGCUCGUCCAUAAUUUUUCCCAUAGUUAAUAACAAUCAUUUUAACUGUUCAGUGUUACCCUUAUUUAUUUGAACUGCGCAAGCAAAGGGUGAUAAUCAGUUCUAAAGCCUGUAUUACACUCUUUGACCGAGCGUCAAAUAUUUGUCACUUUUUGACAGAUAAAAAUUUGGUAAAAUAUAAUUGUUUGUCACUCUCCAAUUUUAACAUGGGGCAAACACGGAAAAACAACAACCAUGAUGUCAAAUAAAUUUGACCAUUAUGUCAGAUGGUCAAAUAUUUGACCAUUAGACAAAGAGUGUACUACAGACUUAAAAUGAUAUACAAUCGUUAAAAGCUAAAGUCAAGCAAUGAUAACACAUUCAUGUGCGAGCAAUUUGGUUCAGUGUAGUCUGCUUUUUCUUUUGGCAGUUUUUGCCCAUAACAAGGUUAAAAAUAGAGGUAGGUCUACUAGAUCAUGAUUCUCAAAGCAGUUUUCAAGUCGAAUCUCGACAAAUCGACUCUAGUGCUUGGGAUCUUUUGUGCAACAUGAUUUGCCUCGAAUACAAUGGGCACACUAGCGACAUUACUUAUCUAGGGACUAAAUAAUCUUAUAUUUGCAUGUUAUCUGUUUUGAGUGUAGUAUUCGUUUCUCCCUCUCCACGGUUAAAUGAAGCUACCUAAUUAUGAGUACGAAAACUACCAAUUUUUGAGUUCGCCUAAGCGAACUGCGAUUUUGAGUAACUUUGAUUAAGUGAAAUUUGUAGAAAAAACUCAUAUGAUGGAUCAAUGCACCAUAUCUAUGUUUGAAUGAAAUGUUUCGAAUUUUCGCUGCUCGAGAGGUUAUUGUUUACCUAAUUUUGGAUGAAAAUUUUUAACCUGCCAGUGCUGUCAAGAAAGAAACAGUUGUGAAAUCAACAGUGUUUUUUUUCUACGAGUGCUUAAAAUUCGGGUUUCUAGUGAAAGAAGGUUUGGAGUUGUAUUUUGUUUGCUUUGAAAUAUUCAAAAUGAAUAAAAUAUCCUCAUCGAUUAGCGAAAGACUUCCUUCCGAAAGCAAAACCACCCGCACAGAAAGUGGUAUCGCCUGCGGGGCCACUGAACCAGAGAAUGAACUACUGGUGUGCGCCAGAGUGGCACGGGCCAGAUUUUGGUUUUCCGGAAAUUUACAGCGUUGAAGGUCCCACCAAGAAAACGAACGGACACACCUCAAGAUCGAUUGUGUGAUAAGCAACUUUCGGUUGUUGGAGGGAAUAUAAACAAUGUUAUAAACAUUA